UCCUGUCACUGUGCUCAGAUCUCAAGGGCAGCUCUGGAUUUGGCUGCCUGCUUUGGUCACCUGAUGGCAGCAAUGUGGGAUCAUGAGAGUGAUGUCCAUGAAACAGGAACCCUUAAGGAGCUGUAGCAGAAAUCAAGAAUGGACUACAGCUGCCCAUGCAGCAAGUGCUCCUCUGUCUCCAGCUCACUGGGCUGAGCAUUUCAAGGGAAGGAAAUGCCAUGGUGAGACUGAAGAUCAUCUCUUCCCCGAGUUAUGACUCCUCACUGUCACCAUAAAUUAGGAUGCCCUUGCAGUUCUGCAGAAUGGGGUGG